GACGAACGCUGGCGGCGUGCUUAACACAUGCAAGUCGAACGGACAGGCCCUGCUUUUGUGGGGUGCUCGAUUGGCGAGCGGGUGAGUAACACGUGAGUAACCUGCCCCUGACUUUGGGGUAACUUCACGAAACUGGGGCUCAUACCCCGUAGGAGCUCCUGCUGCACGGGGGUGGUUGGAAAGUUUCGGCUGUUGGGGCUUUUCUCGCGGCUUAUCCGCCUGUUGGGGGGGUAGUGACUUACCAAGGCUGUGACGGGUAGCCGGCCUGGGAGGGGUGCCGGCGACAAUGGGCCUACGGGACGCACCAGUCUCCUACGGGAGGCAGCAGGGGAGAAUAUUGCGCAGUGGGCCGAAGCCUGAUACAACAACGCUGCGUGCGGGAUGACGUCUUUCGGGUUGUAAACAGCUUUCGCCGGUGACGAGGAGGGAGUGACGGUAAUGGGUAAAGAAGCACCGGCUAACUACGUG
rnacentral:rRNA from 1 species